rnacentral:misc_RNA from 1 species
GAUGAAGAACGCAGCGAAAUGCGAUAAGUAAUGUGAAUUGCAGAAUUCAGUGAAUCAUCGAAUCUUUGAACGCACCUUGCGCCCUUUGGCCAUUCCGAAGGGCAUGCCUGUUUGAGUAUCAUGAACACCUCAACUCUUCAUGGUUUUCCAUGAUAAGCUUGGACUUUGGGGGUCUUGCUGGCCUGUGGGUCGGCUCCUCUCAAAUGAAUCAGCUUGCCGGUUUUUGGUGGGCAUCACAGGUGUGAUAACUAUCUACGCUUGUGGUUUUCCACCAGGGUAACCUUCAGCAGUGGAGGUUCACUGGAGCUUACAAAUGUCUCUCCUCUGUGAGGACAGCCCUUUGAAUGUUUGAUCUCAAAUCAGGUAGGACUACCCGCUGAACUUAAGCAUAUCAAUAAGCGGAGGA